GCCCGCCGCGUUUCUCCCUCAUCUUUUCUCUGCUCUCGGUUGGGGGUCGCUCCGUCCCGAAAAAUAAAGGCAAACAAGCGGAGCGCGCAGAAGAAAGCGGCCACUGCCGCGAAGAAGACUACGAGACGGCAACGACGGGAGAAGAGCGAGAAAGAGACAGCCUGUGGCAUAUACUGGGGGAGCCCAUUCUUCAAAGUGCCGUGUCGCGCGUCCGCUUUGUCAGCGAUCCGGUCCGGUCGCAGAGAGACAAAGCCCGCGGGUAACCCUAUAGCCGGUACGACGAACGGACACAACCCUUUUUUUUUUUUUUCUGGACCCUUCUUCGCCUCUCCCGCUGUUCCUGCUGCGCCUCAUCGGGGGAAGUGCGACCAUACCGUGGGUUUAGACGUCUUUACCAGAGGUCCUCGCUCACCCGCACGCGCCUAUGCUCGCUCAAGUGUUGCUCUCAGCCCGCUAUCUAUCGCGGGUUUGACAUUCAAGACGAACCGGGGCUGGCAGCAUAGUCGCUAACGAAGCACUGCGUGUUGCCGUAAAAGAGAGAGGGGGAAAGAAAGAAGAAAAGCAUUUGUAAGUGGCCGCGGUGACGGCUGAAGCACGUGGCUUUCCUUUAUUUUAUUUUGCCUCUGGAAAGGCGCUUCUUUCGGUGCCGCAUGCUGCUGCUGCUUCAACAGCUUCAGCAGCAGGGCGUCCUCAGAGAAACUGAGAUGGCUGCGGGGAGUAUGAACAGGGGGAGAAGAGUGUUGGGGGGAUGGGGGGAGGGGGACGCGAGCCCUAAGCUAAAGGCUCUCCUUUACGGGAGGAUCAUUUAUUUUUCGACGGGACGUCCCAUCCCCUCUCCUUUGGACGUUUUAUGGCCCCUUUGACAAUCGCGUUCGAACGCGAGCGCGCGCGCCCAGCCGCCCUGCUCUCCAGACCACGUGCGGGCUUCCGCCGAUGCAGGCAGGCGCCGCUCGCCGAAGAGUGCGCGUGUCUCGUUCCGUGAAAUCGGUCCACUCGUCGGGUCCUAACCGCCGCCGCCAUCACCGUGGCCGUCUGCAGAACCAGUGCUUUUCCUCAUCGGCGCUCCCGUCCCCGAGAAGCUUGCGAGACGUUGGCGACCAUUGUCAGGCGCUGUCGUGCGACUAACCCAUCGUCGACGCCAUUUUCUUUCACAGCCAGGCCGCCGUAAACGAGAAAGUCGCUUCGCUUUUCUUCCUUUCGCCGGGGCACUCCUUCUACGCGGCCCCUACUCCGUCAACCGGGGUGUGACCCCUUUGUCUUCGAGGCACGCGCGUAGCUAGCUUGACGAGCACAGGUCUUAUCUGGCGCGCCGCGCAUCUUACCCCGAAGCCCCCGGAGGAACCCAGCGCGCGUGUGCGCUUCGAGGGGCGGGAUGUCUUGUUUAGCGUGGGCCGUGGAUGCAGCGUCACCGAUAGCGCACUCCCGCGCACCGCUCUCCUCCCCUCCCCGUUCUUCCUGCUGCCGUCCAGUUUUUCCCAGGCCUUUGCUUUUGCUGCUGCUACUACUACUACUACUGCUGCUGCUGCUGCUGCUCUAGUCAGGCGUGAGCGAUCACCAAGUGGAUAUAUAGUCAUCAAAAGCCCGGACGUUCUGCGAAAGUUCUUUUGCCCAUGCAGCAGACGACAAAAGUGGGACACCUGCACAGAUAUUUAACAGAUUUGUCAGCUGCUGCAGCUCUGCACAUUUUAUCGACAACCUUGAAGGAGAUGAAAGUAUCAUCAGACAAACAAGAGCUGCAUCACUGUGUAAUGCUUCCAGCAGUGAAGUCCUAUGGCAUACUUUGAUCAAGCGUUUGAACAACUGCUAAGAAGACAUGCAUCCUCGUUUGGUAUUUAUGUUGUCAUGCUGAGUUUUAUAGGUCUGCGGUUGGUAGAACAUGAAAAAAUCCAGAUGGUGUUCUGUAGUGAGUCAAAUGGUCGCUAAGUUUGGUUAAGGGCGACGUAUAAAACGCUGCUAGAGACUGCAUGCAUAUAUACAUGCAUAUGGUCAUGCAUACAUAUGCACGCCACAUUUUGAUCUCAGUUCCUUCUUGGGCAGAACUUUGCAAGUUGCAAGGGCGUUUAACCUCACUAUCCUCUUCGGCAGUUUCCGCGCAUAUAUACAACAUAUAUACAGCAGGGGCGCAUGUAUAUACAUAUUUAUAUAUAUAAUGCAGAGCUGCCCAUGACAAAUCUU